rnacentral:rRNA from 1 species
CCUACGGGAGGCAGCAGUGGGGAAUAUUGGACAAUGGGCGAAAGCCUGAUCCAGCCAUGCCGCGUGUGUGAAGAAGGUCUUCGGAUUGUAAAGCACUUUAAGUUGGGAGGAAGGGUUGUAGAUUAAUACUCUGCAAUUUUGACGUUACCGACAGAAUAAGCACCGGCUAACUCUGUGCCAGCAGCCGCGGUAAUACAGAGGGUGCAAGCGUUAAUCGGAAUUACUGGGCGUAAAGCGCGCGUAGGUGGUUUGUUAAGUUGGAUGUGAAAGCCCCGGGCUCAACCUGGGAACUGCAUUCAAAACUGACAAGCUAGAGUAUGGUAGAGGGUGGUGGAAUUUCCUGUGUAGCGGUGAAAUGCGUAGAUAUAGGAAGGAACACCAGUGGCGAAGGCGACCACCUGGACUGAUACUGACACUGAGGUGCGAAAGCGUGGGGAGCAAACAGGUAUUAGACUACCCGUGGUACGUCCGACGACCGUAACGUACUAGUCACUACGUCGUUCGGGUAGGCGUGUAGCUCUUAGUGGCGC